rnacentral:tRNA from 36 species
GUGGGUGUAGCUCAGUGGUAGAGCCCCGGAUUGUGACUCCGGUGGUCGUGGGUUCAAGUCCCAUCAUCCACCCCA